GAAAGGACUGCUACUUUGUUCUACGAAAAUGAUAGAAAAUAUGAAAGAUAUAAAAUUAUUUGUUUCUAGGUUAAAAUGUUAGCCAAUCAAUGGGAAAGGUGAGAGGUCAGGGGCGGGGGCAAAUCCUGCGUAAGGAAAAGUCACGCUCUCUUUCGGCUGCAGGCGAUAUACGGAGAAGAUCACACUGGAGAACUGUAAAGUGGUUAAUGCUACUUUUCGUGUUUAAGUAAUACUUAAUGGUUGUCAGACCGAUAACCUAUCCGUUACUUUGCAUGCGGAAGAAGUCGGUAUCACAUAGAGACAUUUUCAAAACGAAUUAGUCAGAAUAGCUCAGCUAAUAGUAUAGCCUGAAAAGUUAGCAACUCGGUAGCUGGGACUAUGUUAGGCUAACUGACUUCGUCAACAAUGAGUUGCCUCUGAGGAACAAGACUGCGAGACUAACCGGAGGAAGACAGCUUGCUGUUUGAACUGAUACGCGAACUACAGCGUCGCGUGAGCAACUGCGCCACCGAGAGCGCGUGAGCAGGGCUGCAGUGACGGUGCAUGGACCCUCUCUGGGCACGGACAUCCCCAUCAACCUCGUGAGUGAAUUGGUUUGGUUUUGUUGCGCGAUUCGCAUGAAGCGGCCAAUACAGUUUUAAGGCCUCAACGUCCCCAAGCUACGAUUCAGGCCUGCAUCAGGAACAGUGGUGUGUGUGGGGUUUAUAGAAAUUCUGGUGUGCCGGCUUAGGUAGGCUAUUAUUUUGGGCCCAUAGGUUAAAGGGUAUAACUGAAAACUGCUUGUUUUAUGCAUGUACAUGGGGUUAUAUGUAACCUGUUGAUUUGGUAAUGGUAUUGAUUUAAAAACCUCAGAAAAAGGUAUAACAUUGAGUUAAAGUUUUGAAUAUGUUUUAUUUCUAAGUUGAUAUACAUGCAAAGAAUUGUGUUUUAAUACAUAUACUUAAACUUUACCUGGUUGUUGGGAAUUCAUUAUUGCUAUACGGGGUGUGGAGGGUUGAUGUGUCAGAUUAAGAUUUAUAUUCAUUUAAUAUAGAAUAGAGUGUAUGCAUUAGAAAAGGUGUUUGACUACACUUAGUAUUACCUCAGUUAACAAGCUUACACAUUAUACCAUAUAAAAAACAUUCAUCUAGUUAGUGACAGUUUAUGACAUUAAAACACAUGCAAGGGGAAUUGCAACCAUAGAUAUUGAAGUUGAAUAGGGUAAGAGAACCCAGGGCGUCUUUUGCCGCACUAAUUAUAUAGGCAAAAGUCCGCUAAAUUACCUUGAGAGGGCCCAGACUCAAAAGGGGACCCAUCCUCAUCUGGGUGACACCAGAUAGUGCGACUAUAAAUAAAUCCUUUCUAUAAAUGUGAUAAUACAACCCCAAUUCCAAAAAAGUUGGGUUGCAGUGUAAAAUGUAAAUAAAAACAGAAUGCAAUGAUUUGCAAAUCUCAUAAACCCAUAUGUUAUUCACAAUAGAACAUAGAAAACGUAUCAAAUGUUUAAAUUGAGGAAAUGUACCAUUUUACGGAAAAAUAAGAUUGGGAUGGGGGCAACAAAAGGCUGGAAAAGUAGGUGUUACUAAAAAAACAGCUUUAGGAACAUUUUGCAACUAAUUAGGUUAAUUGGUAACAGGGCAGUAACAUGCUUGGUAUAAAAAGAGUAUUUUAGAGAGGCAGAGUCUCUAAGAAAUAUAGAUGGUAUGGAAUCUGGAUGGAAGCAUAUGUUGCUCUAAAACCUGUAUAUAGCUUACAGCACUGAUGAUCCCUUUCCAGAUGUACAAGCUGCCCAUUCCAUAGGCAUUAAUGCACCCCCAUACCAUCAGAGAUGCAGGCUUUUGAACUGAGCACUUAUAAAAAGCCGGAUGGUCUGUCUCCUCUUUAGUCCUCUUUAUUUUAGAGGAUGCAGCAUCCAGGGUUUCCAAAAAGAAUUUCAAAUUUCGAUUCGUCUGACCACAGAACAGUUUUUAAUGCAGUGCCGCCUGAGGGCCCGAAGAUCACGAGCAUGCGAUAUUGAUUUUCUCCCUUGUGCAGAGAUUUCUCCAGAUUCUUGGAAUCUUUUGAUGAUAUUAUGUACUGUAGAUGAGAUAUUCAUAUCCGUUGAGUCUUUGUAAUUUUACAUUAAGGAACAGGAAUCUGAAAUUGUUCCACAAAUUGUAGAUGCAGUUUUAUGCAGAUUGCUGAAUCUCUGCCCAUCUUUACGUCUGAAAGACUCUGCCUCUCUAAGAUACUCUUUUUAUACCCAGCCAUGUUACUGACCUGUUGCCAAUUAACCUCCAACUGUUUCUUUUUAGUAACACUUUUCCAGCCUUUUGCUGCCCAUCCCAACUUUUUUGAGAUGUGUUGUGGCCAUCAAAUUCAAAAUUACUUUAUUUUUUCUUAAAAUGGUACAUUUCCUCAGUUUAACCAUUUGAUAUGUUUUCUAUGUUCUAUUGUGAAUAACAUAUGGGUUUAUGAGAUUUGAAAAUCAUUGCAUUCUGUUUUUAUUUGCAUUUUACAAAGCGUCACAACUUUUUUGGAAUUGUGGUUAUACUACAUGGUCAAAUACUGCAGUUGUGUAACCAGGAAAAUUCAUUACAGUUUUUACUUGGAGUCUGUUUUGUUGAACUUCUCCACUGUUCACUGAUGGAGACUUGAGUGCAAAACUGUUUGUGGUAAUUGCAGUGCUAAGGCUAUAAUAGUAAUUGUAGUCCUAAUCAUAGCAUAACUGUUCAUAUGAAUUGAGGUCCAAAGCCAUCUUUAUGGUUUUUAAGUGGUACCAUCCUCAGCAAUCUCACUGAUAAUACAGGCAUCUGUACAAAUUGUGCUAUUCAACAUGGCUGCUUCUGCUGGAAGAGGGAUGUUAUAGACAUAUGAGGAAAUGCUUGCACUUCUCCACAUUUUGGAAGGAGGACUAUAUUAAGAAACAACUAUCAACCACCCACCGAAAUUCUAAAGUGUUUCUUCACUUUUCAGCAAAACUGUAAAAUGGAUUUUAAGCAGAUUGCCUUGCAGUGCCGGUUAUAGUUAAAAAAUUACUCCAGAAAUAUGUGGCAACACUAGAUAAGUGGACAGUCCAGUGGACAGUCAGCCGAUGUCAAGUAGCCUCUUUAUGAUUUUUUUUAGACAAAAUUCUUGGUACAAGCCCCUGCACAAACCCAAUGGAUGUCAUAGAAGAUGAUCAUGGUAUGCUCACUGCAAACUUGCUUUACCUAUUUAAUUUACCUGCACAAUAUUGGUGUACCCACAACAAUGCACAGCAGUGCAAGAGGACUCGGACCCAAAAAGCAGCAGUACAAAGAGGUCUGAGACCCCAUUACUGCUUAAGUGGACCAAAAAAUUAUGAGUCAUCUUGCAGGGACAGGGUGAAGGUGAAGAGAACUGGAUCCUUUUUCACUUGGUUGGCUUCAAGGGGUCUGAGUUCAGUUCUUUUAAAGAGGACUCAAGUGUGAAAACACCCUAAAUUUACUCAUAAGAUGAAUAACUGAUGUAAACCUUGACUGAUUGGCUUUGAAUCUUAUAAUUUGUGAUGAGUUAAAGCAUUUUUAUUAUUUUACAGAUUAUGCUGUGACUCCACUGGAUACACUGCUGAACAAUAUAUUUUUGAAUUCUUGUAGACACAAGUCAAAAGUAUCUCAACUUCUGCCUCAGAGAAAUCCUUUUUUUGGCCGUUUUGUGCUUUUCACUCUGUGAACUUGUCCUUUUAUGGAGUUUUGUAGUGUCAACAAAAACAAAUCAUCUGUGGCAUCUAAUUUACAGAUGAUUACCAUUUGUGUGUACACUAUACACACAUGAAUAUGAAGAAAAUCAAUGUUUACAAUGUUAAACUUUAGUAAAUCUUUAUUUCCAUUUGGCUUACGCAAACAUUUACACACAGCUUUACUCAAAGAUCAAUGAAGGCGGCCCAAUGUGUGUGACAACCAACACCUCCUAGCAGAAUUAUGGUACAUUUAAACAGAUUCAUUCAUUCAUUCACCUUCAGUAACCACUUUAUUCUGGUCAAGGUUGCCGUGGAUUCAGAGCCUAUGCUGGGAACACUCGGUGUGAGGCAGAGACACAUGCUGAAUGGGACACCUCGGGGCAAUUUAUAGAGGCCAGUCCAGCUACUGGCAUGUUCCUGGGAGAAAGAAAGUCAAAAAAAAAAAAAAAGAUUUCAACACCACCAAAAGAAGCGAAGACAAGAUUAAGUCACCUGUCAUGCCCUAGUCGGGGUGAUGCUACUGAUGAGAUACUGCCAUCAACACUGCAAAAUAUUGGAAUGUGUUGUGAUCUUUUUUUUUUCCUUCCUAGUUUACUGCUAGUAUACAGACAUGCAUCAGCAUAACCUAGAAAACUGAUGUCUGAAAAAUAGAUUUAUUUUCUAUAAAAUAGCAGCAAACUUCUGAUGUGUUCAAUAUGGACAGCUUUUUAAAACAUCCUGUCAAAAUCGGCACAGGAAGAGAAAUCUUCUCGGCUGUAGGUAUGUCACUUUUUGAAAAGUUGGAAAAAUAAAAUGUGAAUCCUUUUGGGAUUUUCAUCAGUUGCUGAAUAUUCUGAAGAGAAAGCAACACAUGACAUGAUGAAAAGAUCCAAACAUGCAUACAAUGGUGAGACAAUACACUCACUGCCAUCAUUUAUUGCAAAAAUCUGUUUCAAUUAUAAUUUAUCACAUCAUCUCUUUAUCAAUGUGCCAACAUUUCGUUCUCUGGCUAGUUUCUUGGUUUUUUCCAAAAAACUUUUGUUGCAAAUCCUUUGCUUUCAACCCCAAGUGUCAGCCAAAACAUUUCUGUAUGCCAUACACAGUAGUAUAUUGUUUUGUCUGGUUUGAUGUGUGCUUUUUUGGUCACCACUGUGUCUGGCUGCAGUUGAUUGGAUAAUUGGCAGCUUAUUUUGGCUCGACUACCAUCAUUGGCUGAUGAAAGCAGGAGGAUCUUGGCAGCACUCUUUAUUACACAACCUAGUUCCAACAUGGUCUUAUGAUUGAAAAUUUAUAACACUGUAUAUGGGCCAACUCAUAUGAAAAGUUAAGGUGCAUGGUUAAAGUUAGAUCAAGGGGCAGGGUUACUUCAUUUUUAUGACUUCAUAAUAAAAAAUCCAUCUAAAUUGCUCUCAGUCAUUAGAAAUUAUCCAUGAUUUCAAGUUGACUGGUGAAACCUGUCCCAGAAUACAAGCUCUGACUUUAUCAUACACUACAUCCUGGCUAGCUGUCCAUCAUUGUUUUGCCCACUAGUGUUUUCUCCAUGAAUCAGAUUGGGUUUAUUUUCCUGGCUCAGGUUUUCAGCAGACACAUUCACUAUGUUAAAACAGUUCCAGUUUGGUAUGGAGAACUUUAUUGUUUGAUGUUUAUUUCAUGCACCACCUCUCAAUUGUCGUGUCAGCAUAAAGAAAUUCAGAACUGACAGUCUCAGACUGGUUCCAUAUGCAACAAUCGACAUGAACAGAAUAAAAUUAAGUUCCUUUUGAAACAGAUAUUUUUUGUUUCAAUACUUUAUUCCUUUUUGAAAUCACUCCACAGCCCUGUUUCUUCCUGGUCACUCAAAAUGAUGUAAGAACAAUAAAAGUGAACUGAGGUGUAAGAAUGCUCAUAUGUUAAUGCUUAUAUUCAGGUCAGAAAUCAUCAUCGUUGUCGUCAUCGGCAGUUACUCGAGUCAAGUAUGACUGUCUUCCAUGGGGUUAGAAGUUGGUGGAUCUGCAGAUGGCAGGAGAGGCCAAUCUGUAACCUGAAUAUUGGAUUCCUUGUGGAAAUCUAUAACAUUGACCAUACUAAUUACUGUUUUGUGAAGGUGCUGCCAAGAUGACAGACGGUACCUAUAUGUUAACUCCUUUUACACCUGCUGAUGACCGGUUGGCUCCACAGUUCUACUGCUUCCCUAGGAGACCCGAUAGCUAGCGGAAGUGCUGCAGGCAGAUUUCCAGGUAUUAAUAAAGAUGUGUACAGUUCCUGCUGUGGCAUGAGUAUGCUUGGGGAAAAAAGGCAAAUAACAACAAUGAUUUUGCAAGCAAACCUCACAAGAAGAGCUUAAAGGAUCGGUUUUAUAGACCGUGUGCGUUUGCAAAGUGAGUUGAGAAAUAGCUAGCUUGCAAGUAAUCAAAUAAAUAUGAAAAUACUUGUACUCUGACUGUGCUAGCAUACUAAUAUAUGACAGUGUAUGGAGGCAGAAGCUUGGGGCUUCACUUUUGUGUGGUUGUCAAAAUGAAUGAAGUUAAUCCUAUGAGCAACUUGAGAUGCCGCAGUUGCUACAGUCGAUAUUAAACUUAUAAGGAGAGACAUAAUUUCAGGCUACUACUGAGUAGGAAUAUAUGCAUUCAUUCAUUCAUCUUCAGUAACCUGUGAAUCUGGAGACCUUCCCAGGAACACUGGGUGCAUGGUAUAAGUAGAAACAUGUUGGUUUAAAACAUUAAUAACAUUUGAAAAAAACAUCAAUACCUGACUUUAUUAAUACUAGUUUGCAAUGUUGAAAAGUGAUGUCUUGACCAGAUUCCAUCACACAAACAUUUUUGUUAAGCCAAAUCAGGGCUAAGUCUGCC
ensembl:lncRNA